AAUCCUACGGGAGGCAGCAGUGGGGAAUAUUGCACAAUGGGGGGAACCCUGAUGCAGCAAUGCCGCGUGGGUGAAGAAGCACUCCGGUGCGUAAAGCCCUGUCAGCAGGGAAGAAAAUGACAGUACCUGGACAAGAAGCCCCGGCUAACUACGUGCCAGCAGCCGCGGUAAUACGUAGGGGGCAAGCGUUAUCCGGAUUUACUGGGUGUAAAGGGAGCGUAGACGGCAGAGCAAGUUUGAAGUGAAAGCCCGCGGCCCAACUGCGGGACUGCUUUGGAAACUGCCCGGCUAGAGUGCUGGAGAGG
rnacentral:rRNA from 1 species